rnacentral:rRNA from 1 species
CCCGCAGCUCAAGUGGUGGUCAUUAUUAUUGGGCCUAAAGCGUCCGUAGCUGGUUUGUUAAAUGCCUGGGUAAAUCGAUGCGCUCAACGCAUCGAAUUCCGGGUAGACUGGCAAACUCGAGACCGGGAGAGGUGUAGGCUACUCGAGGGGUAGGGGUAAAAAUCCUGUAAUCCUUCGGGGAGGACCAGUGGCGAAGGCGCUACACUAGAACGGCUCUGACAGUGAGGGACGAAGCCCUGGGGCGCAAACCGGAUUAGAUACCCGGGUAGUCCAGGGUGUAAACGCUGCAGACUUGGUGUCGCUGAUCCUACGAGGGUUGGCGGUGCCGUAGAGAAGUUGUUUAGUCUGCCGCCUGGGGAGUACGGUCGCAAGACUG